rnacentral:rRNA from 1 species
GUAGGUGGCAAGCGUUGUCCGGAAUUAUUGGGCGUAAAGCGCGCGCAGGCGGUCCUUUAAGUCUGAUGUGAAAGCCCACGGGCUCAACCGUGGAGGGUCAUUGGAAACUGGGGGACUUGAGUACAGAAGAGGAAAGCGGAAUUCCAAGUGUAGCGGUGAAAUGCGUAGAGAUUUGGAGGAACACCAGUGGCGAAGGCGGCUUUCUGGUCUGUAACUGAUGCUGAGGCGCGAAAGCGUGGGGAGCAAACAGGAUUAGAUACCCUGGUAGUCCACGCCGUAAACGAUGAGUGCUAAGUGUUAGGGGGUUUCCGCCCCUUAGUGCUGCAGCUAACGCAUUAAGCACUCCGCCUGGGGAGUACGGCCGCAAAGGCUG